AUUUCUUCAUGCAAACUCUCAUCGACAAGUAGCAAGUAACCUAAAAAGUAGAUAUUAUAGCCCUUUUAGUUUCUCGUGUAAAUAAUUGAUAUUGUGUAUUUCUUGUGUGUAUUCUUGUUUAUCAUUUUUCUAAUUACCUAGCUAACUACUUUUUUUUUUUUUUUGCAUUUUAUUAUCACAAAUUUUUGUGACCUUUGUAGCGAACUAGCUAAACUUGGGGCUCUCCGUCGAUCAGAAGCAAGGAUGGUUCUGUGCUAUCUUUCGGGUUGUAACCACUACUCCGAUAAGCACACGUGCAUUUUAUCGUUUUCGACCUCUGUAAGCGAGAGGCGUCGCUGGAGCCAUGUGAUAAGAUGGACCAGAAACCAAGUGACAACACUCGGGUCUGUAGCUGCCAUUUUCCGGUGGGAAAGAGAAAUGGCCCUGUAUUUACCAGAAAAGGAGUGCAUCCCUCAGACCAUCAGGUGCAUGGACAUCCUGUGCCAGUGUGAUCCGAGCGCAAGUGUCUAGUUGUAGAGACCACAGCAGAUCGAGCCUGUGGAUGGACAGACAUGAGGAGUGACAUGCGGAACAUCAGGCUCACCGCAUGAGAAGCAGUGCAUGAUCAACGCCACCCUCAGCAAGGAGAUCUGCUGGAAGUGAUGUACUCUCUCUUUCACUCUGGGGGUACAGGCAGGGAUGACUGGGGCCUUCAGCAGGUAAGACACAGGUAAGAGGUAAGACAUAAUUUAACAUCACAGAUAUAAAUUCCCACUGUGCCCUUGAAAAAGUCAACUACAUUACUUUAGUUGACUGCUUUGAGCAAAACUUGUAUGUAAUAUAACCUAUUCUGGGAGCCUAGUGUGUGUGUGUAUGAAUUCUGUGGAAUAUUUCUGGACAAUUGGUUUCCCUGAAAACAAGUACUGACAGGAGGAACAAUAUGAGUCUGUCAGAGGUUGUCACCCUGAAUGGGGAUGGUGAUCAAUGCUUUGGUGUUCCACACAACGAAGAACCAGGUGUCCCUUCCAGUGAUGUGGAGCUGACCUUGGACCUGGUGCCAGUAAGGAUGGUCUUCACAGAGGAUGUAAGACCCUUCCUCCUUGAUAUAGAAAUCCUUUGACUUCACUGCCUCUUCAAUGGUAAGGUCCCUUGCACCAUAGGGACACUUGACCUCCACCACUGCUGUGGUGCCCACCAGACCAUCCAGUGAGGCACACAGGAUCCCAGACCCCGUGACCCAGAGCCCUGACUCCUGCACAUCCAUCCCUGUAGCCAUUUUGAAUGCCUUGAUGCCCUCAUCUUCGUUAUCUGUGCCCCACUUUACAGACAAUACCCCAUCCAAAGACUGUGAUCUGAGGACCCUUUAGCAGCGACGGAGUAAUGCGCUUGGCCUUAACCACUGCUCCAAAAUUGCUGGCCGUCAACCUCCCUCUCCUCAUGGUGUGCCAGUUGGGGUUGGUGCGCUGUCCAACUGUUGCCUGCCAUAAAGCCUCCUGCUGCUCCACCGACAGCGCCAUGCCAGCCAGGAUGCCUGCAUGCCCCAGGUGCCCUUGUAUUUUAACAAUGUCUGGUACAGACAGGAAUGACAGGGAGGGUAGCGGUUGUUCUGGCUCAGGUUCAAGGAGACAUGCCAUUCCACUGAACCUGCCCUAGAGACGGUUCCUUAGACACUGAAGAUCCUCCUCUGUGGGCUCUCGGGACCGAGGGUUGUAGUCUUCGGCUGGGUACAGGUCCUCCACAGACUGCACCUGGUUGGGCACGGCUGGCUUCCUCCACUCGCAUUCCACAUCCGUAUGACUGUUAAAUAGGCUUCAUGGCUACACUUAUAAGCUCCACGGAGGCAUUUGCAUGUGGUAGAAAGAAUCCCCUGGUUACCUAUAGAGACCUGCCAAGAGGAAGGAUGUUAAUGCAUGACUUUAAACACCUUGAAGUGCGUUUGUUGUAAGAAAUGUGCUAUAUAAAUAACGUUUGAUUUGAUGGAUGACAUUACAGCUGUAGAAUAUUUAAUA